UGCUGUGUCAUUGUUUUCUCUAUAUCAUGGUGUUUGUCAUGGAAUGGAUUUUCUCCUGAAUUGCUUACCCUGAUUUUAAAUGUCAAAGGUGUCUUAUUGCUCAAGCUCAGCAAAGAAUUUUGUUUCUCCUAAAUACUCUUCACAGCAAGUUUGAUAAAUACAGGCCCUGACUAUGAAACUUUAACUCAGUAUUACUAAACCUUCACUGAGCAUAGGUUACAAGCUUGCAGUGUAAGAAAUGCUACUGUAAUAAUACUAACAGCAAAUACAUGAUUAAUAUAUUCUCCUCACACUGUCACAUCAUUUUAACAACUGCAUCAUACAGCAGAAAACUCUGUAUUGACUUCAGUUAUACCUUGAUCCUGUGGAACUGUUGUUCCAUGGCCCGCAGGCUGCGCUUGGCCUCCUCAUCAUGACUCUCCAGCUCAGCCUCCAGACGCUGAAUCCUGCGCUCCAGCAGGGCAUUGAUCCCACUGGGCGGGGACGUCUUGGCAGCCUCCACAUCCUCUUGACCCCCAGCUGUGGCUGCAGCGUAGAUCAGAGCUUGCAGGGAGUUUGGGUUUCUACAUCUUAAUAUCUGCUCCAGCUCCUUCACCUGGUGUUCUACCUGAAAUGCGGACAUCCUGUCAUUUCCAACACGGUAAGCAAUGCUACUGCCCCACAUCAUAGCUGAACCUCCAAGGUCUCUGAUCCUUCAGCAGCUGCAGCCUCACAAGGUGAUGCCCACACAAUAAACUGCAGAAAUACAGUUACUGGAAAAGGAAGAAGGGGUUUUGGACUGAAAAGCGGCGGACCAUGAUCCACCAGGCCCAAAAAAGUGGACCAGGCGCCAUGGCGGAUGCGGCGAUCGCUCAGAGGAGGGGAAAGGGAGCCGGGAUAGGAGCCAUGUUGGCCCAGCUUGGACUUAAUUCUGCUCUUAAAGGUCUUGAUAAAAUGGGACUCAUGUCCUAUAGACAAAACUAAAAAAAUCUAUAAUUUGAUAUCUGUGACACCAUACUCAGUCUUAUCUGGGCAACAUUCAGAUGUGUGGACAGAUCUAUUUAAUUCGUCCUCAUCACCAGAGAGCAAAUCGCCAUGCAGUCAUCCACAAUAAAUAGAACAGUAGUUACAUCUAUAAGUCUCCUUUUGGACGAGAGAUGGAGUGAUUGAAAGCGUGCAACCGACUGUAGAGCUGCAAUUAUGUGAGUAAAACGCAUGUUGUAACUUUGCCAGGGCAGACAGCUGUACUGAAUAAAACUGAGACAGGGGUUAAAA